CAGGCCUAACACAUGCAAGUCGAACGAGAUGCCUUCGGGUAUCUAGUGGCGAACGGGUGAGUAACACGUGAGGAACCUGCCCCGAAGACGGGGAUAACCGUGGGAAACUGCGGCUAAUACCCGAUACCCCCGAUGCGGCGCAUGCCGCGACGAGGAAAUGCUCCGGUGCUUCGGGAGGGCCUCGCGGCCUAUCAGCUAGUUGGUGAGGUAACGGCUCACCAAGGCUUCGACGGGUAGCUGGUCUGAGAGGACGAUCAGCCACACUGGGACUGAGACACGGCCCAGACUCCUGCGGGAGGCAGCAGUGGGGAAUCUUGCGCAAUGGGCGAAAGCCUGACGCAGCCACGCCGCGUGGGGGACGAAGGCCCUCGGGUUGUAAACCCCUUUCAGCAGGGACGAAAAUGACGGUACCUGCAGAAGAAGCUCCGGCCAACUACGUGCCAGCAGCCGCGGUAACACGUAGGGAGCGAGCGUUGUCCGGAUUUAUUGGGCGUAAAGGGCUCGUAGGCGGUUUGGUAAGUCAGGUGUGAAAGCUCAGGGCUCAACUCUGAGAAGCCAUCUGAUACUGCCAUGACUAGAGUUCGGUAGAGGAGCGUGGAAUUUCCGGUGUAGCGGUGAAAUGCUCAGAUAUCGGGAGGAACACCAGCAGCGAAGGCGGCGCUCUGGGCCGAAACUGACGCUGAGGAGCGAAAGCGUGGGGAGCAAACAGGAUUAGAUACCCUGAUAGUC
rnacentral:rRNA from 1 species